UACGAGUGAAUGUAGGGUUAGUGUUAUUCUUUUUGGUAACAUUGCUGUACUUAAAGUUAAAGAAGAUGGGGUUUAUCAACUUCCUAGUAGUCAUUUUUUUAUAUAAUUUGACAGUUGAUAAGAUGGACAAAAUUCCUUGAUAAACUGAAAGUAAAUCAUCAAGAACAAUAUACUUUGUGCAUAAUGAUGGUAACAUGAAGAGUGAACUGACAUAGAAUUUCCAUCAAUUAGUGGUAUUUUUUGUGUAAAAAGGGCAAGAUAUAAGUGGUAAAAAAAACAGUGAAAGCAACAGCAUAGCUGGGCAACUGGGCCAUAAAUAAUUCAUCAUUAAGUCUCUUUCCUUUCCGUAAGUUAUGAUGAAAAUUAAGAAUGCCCGAAGGUAAUAUCCCUUUAUCAUGCCAGCAAUAUUCCACAAACUCCAAGGCAUAACCAAUUCUAUCGUGCCACGUCACUUUGACACGCAUGCACGACACCCACAUGACCUGGCCUUGUUGGAACAGUUGACGUGCCUCCCCUAGUUGUCCCCUCAACCCAGGAUCUACGCCUCUUUUGAUCAACUGGGGACGAAGCCUAUGCCUCUGGAGAUGCACAGAAUUCAACUUGUUAUUUUAUGGUCUGUAGGGCUUGAGCAGCUCGGUUGACGCUGAGGAUGAAGUGAGAUAAUGAGAGAGUGAAUGGACUGACCAUGCAUGAAAGAUUUUGGUAGCGUAGCAAUGAUAAAACGAUAAUGGAGUGAUAGAGUUUCAGAAAACAAAGGAGGAUGCAACGCCUACACGCUUGCCUCCCAGGCUCCAGCCACCCCAUAAAUACAGGAGCCCCC
rnacentral:lncRNA from 1 species